rnacentral:rRNA from 1 species
AAUACGGAGGGUGCAAGCGUUAUCCGGAUUUAUUGGGUUUAAAGGGUCCGUAGCGGACUUAUAAGUCAGUGGUGAAAGCCUGUCGCUUAACGAUAGAACUGCCAUUGAUHCUGUAAMGUCUUGAKUAUAUUURAGGUAGCUGGAAUAAGUAGKGUASCGGGUGWAAUGCAUAGAUAUUACUUUAGAACACCAAUUGNCGAAGGCAGGUUACCAAAAUAUAACUGACCGCUGGARGGACAGAAAGCGUGGGGAGCNGAACAGGGAUUAKAUACCCUGGCUAGUCCMAGGGCNAAUUUCCGGCCCGCUAAAUUYAAUUUUGCCCUUAUAGCGAGUCGGAUUUAACAAUUUCACUUGGCCCGUCGGUUUUACAAACCGUUGGUGACUU